AAUGAAGAAUAAUUAAAAGUCAAUUUAUCUACGAUAAUUAAUCUAUCUACGUUGUUAUAUUACAUCCUUUUAAAAUAAUGGAAGAAAUUUUGAACCACGAGUCAUAAAAAUGUACAUAGUAAACCUAUAAAGUGUCGAUCAGUUAGUGAAUUAGUCAAGUGAAUGAUUUCCAUCACAUGUAAUUAAAAAAGGUUUUGAAUCAGACUUCCGCUUUCGUGGUCGUUUAUCUACGCUCAGAAACCGCGACCUGAGAAUUAUCAGAGAAAAUUAUUUUCGUAUAUGAGGCUGCUGCGUCGGCCGUUUGCUUAAUGCCGUUCACGAACCUGCAAUCGUCGCAUACGUCGACGACACGUUCGUAAAUGAUGAUUGAGCGAUACCGCGAACGCGACGCGAAUCCAAGGACAGUAAUUUAUUGACAGUGAUAGGCGAAUUACCGCGUGCGAUAAUUUAUUGAGAGAGAGAGCUCGUGUCGGACGCGUUUUAUUAUUGGUUUCUUUAUCCCCUUGGUAAGGUGCGAGGCCGUAGAGGCGUUGCAACGUUAAAUAAACAACGUUCUACGAAUUCAUCCAAACUACUCUUUACACGACCCAUCCGUAUCGAUUAGUUUUAUUUUCGUCCAGAUUCAUCCUGAAUCUCAUUUAAAUUCUUCAUGUUUUUAACAUGCGGAACGCGAGCGCGGCGACACAGCGGCUUCUUAAUUGCCACUCCCGCUUGUGCGGGUUCAUUGGAUUCGCAUUCGCGGAUCGCGAGACGACCGCCGCCCCGGUAGACGGAAAAGUCCACCGGGACUCGCGUGUCGCCGCGCUCAGACGUGCGUUUCUCGCGUUUCUUACGCGAGGCACGUAAUUACGUGCAAUCUUCGGAACGACGGCCGUCGUUCCGCUUUCCAUCUGCAUUCGGCGCGCGAGGUAGUAAAGUCCCUCCUUCUCUUUCUCCUCGGCGGACUUUCAUGCUCGCGCGAGUGCUGUUACGAGGGAACAUAACGGACGGUAUAUCGAGUGUCAGGCUGCGAACAGGAUAUCCGCGCUUUUCAGGUGACGCCGCGCCUUUCGACAGAAUGCGAACCCUAUACGCAGCUGCGGCGGCGAAAGGACGGAAAGCAGAGAGGAGAGUCCCGAGAGAGGUAGAAGACCCUAUAAUCGCGAACUUUUGACAUUUCGUCGCGCUUUUUUUUUUAACGCGAUUAUCGCGCGGUCGAGAAAGCGCCGCGACGGAAUGUCACGGUAAGAGGAAUGGGAAAAACAACGUGGAACAAUGUUAUCACGAGCAUUAUCUCUUUCCUCUCUUAUCCAUCGCAAUAACAACGUCCGUCGCGUUCCUUGUCUAACUGUACAACAGGGAUGUCCAGUCUCGACUGUAACAACAGGAAAAUUCCAUAAGUAAAUAAAGAAAAUUAAAAUUG